CUGCGCUCGGUGAUGGGCUGGAGCUGAGGCCGGGCCUGGGUGCGGGAACCUCAGCAGAAGCUCGCCCGCCGGUACCUGCAGCCGCAUAUUCAUCACCUAAAAUGGAAACACCUGGCGCGAGGAAAGCCGGAACUUGCCUUCUCAAACCCGUCUUUCUCCCCUUGCCCCCCUCCUCCCUUGCGUCUGUCUCUGGCCGAGCAUCCUCCUCCCCCUGGUCCUUCCCCAAAAGUUAAGGAACUCUGCGCAGGAGGAGACCUCACCGUUGCCUUUUCCUGCCCUACAGUACGACUCCUUCGGCGCCACUUUAAGAUCCUUUCUUUAAAAAUCCCAUCAGAACGGCUUUUAAAAAUGUGUUGCUGUUGGGGGUUGCGGAGAAAAUUCAUUUUUCCAUGACUUUUCCAAUCAGGUACCGCAUUGGUGCAGGCUUCCCAAAGCGUGUGCCCAGGCCCAGUUCUGUGCAGAGAGGAUGCGGAACAGCAGGCUGAUAGGACUUUCUGGAGCUUCAGUUUUACUAUGAGAUUUGCAACAGCUGAAGUUAAGCAAUUUACAAGGAUCUCCAGAAGUGGAUGGCACUGGUUCUUGUUCUAGACCCUGACUUCAUUUUUUCCCUCCCAGUCUGUGGAAUACUAAGCUGUGGGUUGGAUCCCCCAGUAGCCCUGGAAGGACUGCUGCAUGGAGGCUGGGCUUCUCUCCUUGAAAAUGUUUAUUGGAAAAUA